CCCUGGCUCAGGACGAACGCUGGCGGCGUGCUUAACACAUGCAAGUCGAACGAUGAAGCCCUUCGGGGUGGAUUAGUGGCGAACGGGUGAGUAACACGUGGGCAAUCUGCCCUUCACUCUGGGACAAGCCCUGGAAACGGGGUCUAAUACCGGAUAAUACUCCUGCCUGCAUGGGUGGGGGUUAAAAGCUCCGGCGGUGAAGGAUGAGCCCGCGGCCUAUCAGCUUGUUGGUGGGGUAAUGGCCCACCAAGGCGACGACGGGUAGCCGGCCUGAGAGGGCGACCGGCCACACUGGGACUGAGACACGGCCCAGACUCCUACGGGAGGCAGCAGUGGGGAAUAUUGCACAAUGGGCGAAAGCCUGAUGCAGCGACGCCGCGUGAGGGAUGACGGCCUUCGGGUUGUAAACCUCUUUCAGCAGGGAAGAAGCGAAAGUGACGGUACCUGCAGAAGAAGCGCCGGCUAACUA
rnacentral:rRNA from 1 species